rnacentral:snoRNA from 1 species
GAAAGUGAUGAGACACUUCUGGAAUCUCGUUCGUCUGAACUUCUGUUGAGAAACAAAACCUCUGACAUCG